AUUCCUUUUUAUCUGGAACCUCCCACCAAAUUAUGCAAAUUAAGAGUUUCAAAUCUUCAUAUUCACUUUAAGAGCACCUGUGAGACUGUCAAGGUCAUCAAGGCUAUGUGCCUUUGAAAAACCACCACGUAUUUGAAAGCUGUCAUUUCAAAGAAGCGAUUUUGCUAGUUCUGUGGUACAAUCGGGGUAACGACAGAUAUGCCUCAGGUAAAAAACGCUAUAAGACAUAGGGCCAGUGGAAAUAAAUAGAGGGCUAAAUUUUUGCUGCACGUGUUUUUUAAAUGCAGAGUCAUGUUGAAAUUAAAGGUAUAGCCAGAGUCUCUGGUCAUUGAACAUAUCAAAAGUGAACAAAGCAUACAAGAUGCACAGCUGCACUAAUAGCUCAUGGUCAGAUUAAUCCUUGUUUGAGCUCCCAAUGCCUCACUGAAAUGUUUGUUGCUGAAAAGGAACACAGUGUUCCUAAACUAGCAGAUGAGGUUGCGUGAACGGAAAAAAAAAAAAAAACCCACAGAAGGAAAUGAAAAAAAAACCACAAAUGCAUGGCACAG
rnacentral:lncRNA from 1 species